rnacentral:rRNA from 1 species
GGUUAAGCGACUAAGCGUACACGGUGGAUGCCCUGGCAGUCAGAGGCGAUGAAGGGCGUGCUAAUCUGCGAUAAGCGCCGGUAAGGUGAUAUGAACCGUUAUAACCGGCGAUACCCGAAUGGGGAAACCCAGUGUGACUCGUCACACUAUCAUUAACUGAAUCCAUAGGUUAAUGAGGCGAACCGGGGGAACUGAAACAUCUAAGUACCCCGAGGAAAAGAAAUCAACCGAGAUUCCCCCAGUAGCGGCGAGCGAACGGGGAGGAGCCCAGAGCCUGAAUCAGCAUGUGUGUUAGUGGAAGCGUCUGGAAAGGCGCGCGAUACAGGGUGACAGCCCCGUACACAAAAGCGCAUGUGCUGUGAGCUCGAUGAGUAGGGCGGGACACGUGAUAUCCUGUCUGAAUAUGGGGGGACCAUCCUCCAAGGCUAAAUACUCCUGACUGACCGAUAGUGAACCAGUACCGUGAGGGAAAGGCGAAAAGAACCCCGGCGAGGGGAGUGAAAAAGAACCUGAAACCGUGUACGUACAAGCAGUGGGAGCCCCACCACUAAGCCAGUGGUGAACUCCACAUACGCAUCCUUUGCUGAGGAUACGGUUAACGGAGCGAAAGCGACGUUCAACCUCAAAAGAAGCAGAGGGGGCUUAGUGGUGGGGUGACUGCGUACCUUUUGUAUAAUGGGUCAGCGACUUAUAUUCUGUAGCAAGGUUAACCGUAUAGGGGAGCCGUAGGGAAACCGAGUCUUAACCGGGCGUUAAGUUGCAGGGUAUAGACCCGAAACCCGGUGAUCUAGCCAUGGGCAGGUUGAAGGUUGGGUAACACUAACUGGAGGACCGAACCGACUAAUGUUGAAAAAUUAGCGGAUGACCUGUGGCUGGGGGUGAAAGGCCAAUCAAACCGGGAGAUAGCUGGUUCUCCCCGAAAGCUAUUUAGGUAGCGCCUCGUGAACUCAUCUCCGGGGGUAGAGCACUGUUUCGGCUAGGGGGUCAUCCCGACUUACCAACCCGAUGCAAACUGCGAAUACCGGAGAAUGUUAUCACGGGAGACACACGGCGGGUGCUAACGUCCGUCGUGAAGAGGGAAACAACCCAGACCGCCAGCUAAGGUCCCAAAGUCAUGGUUAAGUGGGAAACGAUGUGGGAAGGCCCAGACAGCCAGGAUGUUGGCUUAGAAGCAGCCAUCAUUUAAAGAAAGCGUAAUAGCUCACUGGUCGAGUCGGCCUGCGCGGAAGAUGUAACGGGGCUAAACCAUGCACCGAAGCUGCGGCAGCGAACGUAUCACUUAAAGCGAUUCAGCGGGUUACGAUUGACGGAGCGAAGCGACGUCAAAGCGUAUACAAAGUCGAGUCGGUUUAAGGAUACGUUCGUUGGGUAGGGGAGCGUUCUGUAAGCCUGUGAAGGUGUGUCGUGAGGCAUGCUGGAGGUAUCAGAAGUGCGAAUGCUGACAUAAGUAACGAUAAAGCGGGUGAAAAGCCCGCUCGCCGGAAGACCAAGGGUUCCUGUCCAACGUUAAUCGGGGCAGGGUGAGUCGACCCCUAAGGCGAGGCCGAAAGGCGUAGUCGAUGGGAAACGGGUUAAUAUUCCCGUACUUGGUGUUACUGCGAAGGGGGGACGGAGAAGGCUAUGUUGGCCGGGCGACGGUUGUCCCGGUUUAAGCGUGUAGGUGUGUGUUCCAGGUAAAUCCGGUUCACUUUAACACUGAGGCGUGAUGACGAGGCACUACGGUGCUGAAGCAACAAAUGCCCUGCUUCCAGGAAAAGCCUCUAAGCAUCAGGUAACAUCAAAUCGUACCCCAAACCGACACAGGUGGUCAGGUAGAGAAUACCAAGGCGCUUGAGAGAACUCGGGUGAAGGAACUAGGCAAAAUGGUGCCGUAACUUCGGGAGAAGGCACGCUGACACGUAGGUGAAGUGAUUUACUCAUGGAGCUGAAGUCAGUCGAAGAUACCAGCUGGCUGCAACUGUUUAUUAAAAACACAGCACUGUGCAAACACGAAAGUGGACGUAUACGGUGUGACGCCUGCCCGGUGCCGGAAGGUUAAUUGAUGGGGUCAGCGCAAGCGAAGCUCCUGAUCGAAGCCCCGGUAAACGGCGGCCGUAACUAUAACGGUCCUAAGGUAGCGAAAUUCCUUGUCGGGUAAGUUCCGACCUGCACGAAUGGCGUAAUGAUGGCCAGGCUGUCUCCACCCGAGACUCAGUGAAAUUGAACUCGCUGUGAAGAUGCAGUGUACCCGCGGCAAGACGGAAAGACCCCGUGAACCUUUACUAUAGCUUGACACUGAACAUUGAGCCUUGAUGUGUAGGAUAGGUGGGAGGCUUUGAAGCGUGGACGCCAGUCUGCGUGGAGCCGACCUUGAAAUACCACCCUUUAAUGUUUGAUGUUCUAACGUGGACCCGUAAUCCGGGUUGCGGACAGUGUCUGGUGGGUAGUUUGACUGGGGCGGUCUCCUCCUAAAGAGUAACGGAGGAGCACGAAGGUUGGCUAAUCCUGGUCGGACAUCAGGAGGUUAGUGCAAUGGCAUAAGCCAGCUUGACUGCGAGCGUGACGGCGCGAGCAGGUGCGAAAGCAGGUCAUAGUGAUCCGGUGGUUCUGAAUGGAAGGGCCAUCGCUCAACGGAUAAAAGGUACUCCGGGGAUAACAGGCUGAUACCGCCCAAGAGUUCAUAUCGACGGCGGUGUUUGGCACCUCGAUGUCGGCUCAUCACAUCCUGGGGCUGAAGUAGGUCCCAAGGGUAUGGCUGUUCGCCAUUUAAAGUGGUACGCGAGCUGGGUUUAGAACGUCGUGAGACAGUUCGGUCCCUAUCUGCCGUGGGCGCUGGAGAACUGAGGGGGGCUGCUCCUAGUACGAGAGGACCGGAGUGGACGCAUCACUGGUGUUCGGGUUGUCAUGCCAAUGGCACUGCCCGGUAGCUAAAUGCGGAAGAGAUAAGUGCUGAAAGCAUCUAAGCACGAAACUUGCCCCGAGAUGAGUUCUCCCUGAGACUUUAAGUCUCCUGAAGGAACGUUGAAGACGACGACGUUGAUAGGCCGGGUGUGUAAGCGCAGCGAUGCGUUGAGCUAACCGGUACUAAUGAACCGUGAGGCUUAACCUU